rnacentral:rRNA from 1 species
CAGUAGCCACGGGAAUACGAACCGUGCGAACGUUAUUCGGAAUCAUUGGGCUUAAAGCGCGUGUAGGCGGAUGGGAACGUCGGUCGCUGAAAUACCCCGGCUCAACCGGGGAACUGGCAUCGAAACGACCCGUCUCGAGGGGCAUAGGGGGAGCUGGAACUUCCGGUGGAGCGGUGAAAUGCGUUGAGAUCGGAAGGAACGCCCGUGGCGAAAGCGAGCUCCUGGAUGUCUUCUGACGCUGAGACGCGAAAGCUAGGGUAGCGAACGGGAUUAGAGACCCCCGUAGUCCCUGUCUCUUAUA